ensembl:lncRNA
CUCGGGGACAUCUGCCGUCACGGAGUCCCAUCGUCCGUUCUCCUCCACCAGGCAGCGUCCCCAGCUGAGACCCCAGGCGGGGAGGCAUCCUCCUGUUGGCCAGACUCCAGGACCGCAGCACCUGCCUGCCCAGCCCCAGCCCCACAAAGAGACUGUCUCCUCUCCCUGAACCCUGAUCCCUUGCUGUCCCAGCCCAUGACCUCUAGGGCCACCACCUCGGCUGCGCAGAGCCGUGUCCUGGACCCAGGCUGUGGCUGCUGGGGUGAGAUGCUGGGCACGCGGCAUGGGGAGACACAGGGGCUCUGAGCACCUCGGCGUGUCUCCCUAGGACACGUGGAACACAUCCUCCAGGAAAACACUGGGCGGCCCUGGCAGGCCUGGAGGGUGCAUAGCCAACAGAAGGAAUGAGGGACGAGUUCAGAGACUGUCCAUUUCACAAGGGCAGGGGCAGAAGACUCCUGAGCACAAGGCAUGGGGAGGGCUUGGCAAUGGCAGGGUGCAUGUGCCCAGGAAGGAGGCCAUGACCAGCUUCCGUCAACACGGAUGGACAGCUGGGGUCACAGUGCUUUGGGGUUCCAUGUCAGCCGGCAGGGAAAAGAAUUCUGAUUUUUGUCAUGAAAAGAAGACAGGAAAACCAGAAGAGAAACUGUCUGCUGCAGGAUGCCAAGAGAAAAGAGGAGAAGGCCGGACGGCGUCACGCCCAUCCUCACCGUCACACCAGACCAUGUCGUAGCCCUCUGAGCGCAGCCUCGCGCCCGGCCUUCGGCAGCUGGCAGGCACGUCACCCGUCCUGGAGACCUGGCUGUGGGCAAAUGGAGAAGGUGGUUGAGGGGCUUGAGUGGGCACAGAGAGCUGGGGGGAAGGGUGUCAGGCACGCCUCCAGCAGGCUGGGCACUCACCCGUGUCUCCAGUCCGAACCCGGAGGCACCGAUCCCUGCUCCGUCGUUGCCCAGAGGUCCGCCUUGGCCUCAGGCUCUGGAGGCCAGUGCCUCCCCUGGCUCGCCGCCAGGCUCCCACUCUUCACCCCUGCCUGCGCCCCGACCCCUCACCAGAGCUCUCAUUCACUCCGCCCCAACCUCCUCACCUAGUCCAGCCUCGCCAGUGCCCUUGACUCCCCUGGGUGCUAUCCUGUCCGGCACACCAGACCCAGGAGCUGAGCGGCGAGGGCAUGCAGUGCCACCAGGUACACCGUGGGCCCUCUCCGCACCAGCGCCUGGGCCGCAGUGCCACGCGGGAACGGUGGUCCACAGGCCGGGCCCGCAGCAGCCUCCUCGCUGCAGAAAUCUCCCUGGAGCCCGUACCUGUGGCCGCCGCGCCCUCCGGGUGACGUCCUGCUGCGGGUCGCCCCGCGCACUGCUCCUUCUUUCCCACUCUCCAGCCCUCGAGGCUCCGACACGGGCCUUGGGAGGCCCGUGCUGGAGCCGCUCCUGUACCUUCUACUAAAUGAAUUUCGGUGGGUGAGAUGUAGUGACGGCUGGGGACCCUACAGCCUCCUGAGUCCCCACCUCCUCCUGUCCGACCCGGGCCUGGGGUCCCCCACAAGCUGGAUCCCCUCAGCCACCUGUCACCUCCCUCACUGGCAGCCCUGCCUCAUGUCCCGCCCGCUCUCUUGAAACGCUCAUUCCACUUGGGAAGGGCACACGGCCCCCCAGCCUACACAGUCUCAGCUCCCCCUGAGACGAUGUCACCUGUCCUGACCGCCCUCCUUUGUCCUGCCGCUCUGCCGGGAGGUCAGCCGCUUCUCCUCGCUGCUCCUUGCUCCCUGGAACCUCUUCCUUGCAGAAGGCCAGCAAAGCAAGGCCCAGGGAGGGGAGGGGACUCACCUGGCCGACAGACCGCUGUCCUCACUUACCCACGGCUGCCAGCUACAGCCCAACUGCCCUAGGUCCUGGGCGAACCCCUCUCCAGCUCCCCUUGUCCACCAGCCGCCACGACCUGAAACCAAAACUGACCGGGAUGAAUGUCUGGCUCCCCCCUCUUCCCUCUACACCCCCGGCUUCGGCCCACCGCACGCCAUGCCAAUGUCACCCAGACUCCAAGACACCUGGGACCCCACUCCACACUCCCACCAGGUGCUCACCAGCCCUGCCCAAGCCAGCCCCUCAACUCUCGGCCACUCCCGCCAGACUCCAGAUUUCCAAGGUGAUCCUUGGCCCACUCAAGCUUCCCUACACCCUGUCCCCAUCUUCCCCUGGUUGCCCCCAGUACCCCACGCUUCCCUGGUUACCCCUCCUCCCCCGCUUCCCCNNNNNNNNNNNNNNNNNNNNNNNNNNNNNNNNNNNNNNNNNNNNNNNNNNNNNNNNNNNNNNNNNNNNNNNNNNNNNNNNNNNNNNNNNNNNNNNNNNNNCCCCCUCCCGCACCCUGCUCUCCGGCCCUAGCCCGGGCUUUUUCUAACUGGGGUAGCCCCGCCCAGAAUUCCCGCCCCUGUCCUGCCAGCCAAUCAGAGUGGGGACCGUGUUCGGGGCCACCGCAAGGCCCACCUCCUCCCCAGACCGGUCCAGCGCACGUUCCUCACCCGUCCCCAGAAUUCUCCAAAGACGGCAUUCUCCACACCCCUGCAUUGGCAUC